rnacentral:piRNA from 1 species
UUCAGUUGUUGUUGUGUAGAACAGGAUGUU